rnacentral:rRNA from 1 species
UACGGAGGGUGCAAGCGUUAUCCGGAUUCACUGGGUUUAAAGGGUGCGUAGGUGGGUUGGUAAGUCAGUGGUGAAAUCUCCAGGCUUAACUUGGAAACUGCCAUUGAUACUAUCAAUCUUGAAUACCGUGGAGGUCAGCGGAAUAUGUCAUGUAGCGGUGAAAUGCUUAGAUAUGACAUAGAACACCAAUUGCGAAGGCAGCUUGCUACACAAUUAUUGACACUGAGGCUCGAAAGCGUGGGGAUCAAACAGG